CAGAUUCAUGCUGCCUGGAACAAUAACAAACAGUUGAAUUAGCUGGGACAUUAACGUAGCGUUUACAACUGUUAUUUAUUUUGUGUUGGUAUUGUAGCUCAGUGUUAGCAGAAAUGUCCGGAAAGGCCAAGGAUAUCCUACAGAUGGACCUGUAUGGUUUACUCGGCAUUGAAAGCACUGCUACAACGAAAGAGAUUAAGAAAGCUUAUCGACAGAAAGCCUUGACCUGCCAUCCAGACAAGAACCCAGACAACCCAAAAGCAGUGGAGCUCUUCCACCAGUUGUCCCAGGCUCUUGAGGUGCUAACUGAUGCUGCUGCCAAGGCUGCCUAUGAUAAGAUUUGCGCUGCCAAGAAACAAGCAGAAGAAAGAAACAGGAAACUAGAUGACAAGAGGAAGAAAAUUAAGCUUGAUUUGGAGUCCCGAGAGCGACAAGCAGAAGCUCACAGCCAGGAGGAGGUGCAAAACACUAGAACACUUGAGGAAGAGAUUGCCCGUUUGAGAGAGGAGGGAUCCAGGCAGCUUGAGGAGGAACAGAGGCUCAUCAGAGAGCAGAUACAGAGAGAAAGGGAAGCGCAGCAGCAGCAAACAGAAGGCUACACUCAGAGCAGUAAUGUCCACUUCAAGUUUUAACCUAGCCCAGUCUGCUCUAGUCCACGUUAACCAAACCAAUUCACUGCCACCCUGUUCUGCCUGGAUAAAUCCAGUUUGAUCCAGUGAAGUUCUUUUACAAUCCUGAAAGCCUCAGCUGAGUGAACCCCCAUGUUUCCCAAUGACCAUUCUGUCAGUCCAACCACAGCAGUCUCCACGCACCCUGUGGUUUACCAAAUAACGUUCACACAAAUGACAAUAACUGAAUGUAUAUUUGAAUUUAUGUUUUGUUUUAAAACAUUUUCAAGAGGUCUGUUUUAUUUUUUGUCAGUAAGACAACUUGGCAAGAUUAACAUAGGAAUGCCAAGCACCACGCACACACAUAGCUGUCCAUCAGACUCUUAACCGCUUGAUAAUAUUUUUGCAUUAAAGCCUCGGUGUCUCCAUUCUGGAGACAUGAAAAAAAUGAGGAGUCUUGUAAAAUAAGACCAUGGAAGUGUGUGUAUUUAAGGGGAAUUACUGAUUCUUGGACAUAGACUAGACCCGUUUUUGUGGCUUGACAAUUACUCAUGCAUAGCCAGCACGUCUUUUGAGUCUCUUCCAUUUGCAAGCAGUCAUGGCCUCCCCAGCCCUCCCACUCUUGUCUGUUCCAUCUCAAGAGGCGCUCAGUGGAUCAUCAGACUGUACAUAGGCAGGCCAUACAUUUACUGCGUGACAGCCCGUUUAAAAUUACUGUCCAUCUGGAUGAGUCCCUCGCCUGACUCAGGAGUGGAGAGAUGUUCCAAGAGCAAUGUGACCCCCAAAUUGAAGGUAA